rnacentral:rRNA from 1 species
GCGCAGCAGGCGCGAAACCUCCGCAAUACACGAAAGUGUGACGGGGCCAUCCCGAGUGCCGUCCGCUGAGGACGGCUUUUCCCCAGUGUACACAGCUGGGGGAAUAAGGAGAGGGCAAGCCUGGUGUCAGCCGCCGCGGUAAUACCAGCUCUCCGAGUGGUGGGGACGCUUAUUGGGCCUAAAGCAUCCGUAGCCGGCUGGGCAAGUCCUCCGUUAAAUCCAACGAUUCAAUCGUUGGGCUGCGGGGGAUACUGUCCAGCUUGGGGGCGGGAGAGGCCGACGGUAUUCCCGGGGUAGGGGUGAAAUCCUAUAAUCCCGGGAGGACCACUAGUGGCGAAGGCUGUCGGCUAGAACGCGCCCGACGGUGAGGGAUGAAAGCUGGGGGAGCGAACCGGAUUAGAU